CCUCUCUUUGAGCAAGUCUUCUCUCUGAUUCUGAGUGAAGAGACUCACCGUCAUGUGAUGAUUGCUCUGGAUACUAUCUGCUCUACAAUGGUUGUUUAGGCCCAGUCACAGUCUCAAUAAUCUCGUGGAUGUGGUAGUCGAGAUAUGCGGAUAUGCUCCUAUUGCAAUAAAAUGGGACAUGAUCCGUGCAUCAAAUAUA
rnacentral:lncRNA from 1 species